rnacentral:rRNA from 1 species
CCUACGGUAGGCAGCAGUGGGGGAUAUUGCACAAUGGGGGAAACCCUGCUGCAGCGACGCCGCGUGUGGGAAGACGGUCCUCUGGAUUGUCAACCACUGUCCCCAGGGACGAAGAUGACGGUACAUGGGGAGGAAGAUCCGGCUAACUACGUGCCAGCAGCCGCGGUAAUACGUAGGGAGCGAGCGUUGUCCGGAAUUCCUGGGUGUAAAGGGAGCGUAGGCGGGACUGCAAGUUGGGUGUCAAUUCUACCGGCUCAACCGGUAGCCGCACUCAAAACUGCAGUUAUUGAGUGAAGUAGAGGCAGGCGGAAUUCCUAGUGUAGCGGUGAAAUGCGUAGAUAGUAGGCAGAACACCAGUGGCGAAGGCGGCCUUCUGGGCUUUUACUGACGCUGAGGCUCGAAAGUGUGGGGAGCAAACAGGAUUAGAUACCCGAGUAGUC